rnacentral:rRNA from 1 species
GGAUUAGGCAUGCAAGUCGAACGAGGAUAUAUCCUUCGGGAUAUAAGCCGAGUGGCGCAAGGGUGAGUAAUGCAUAGAUUACCUGCCUCUAGGAUAAGGACAACUUUGUGAAAACGAAGCUAAUACUUAAUAAUACAAAAGAAAAUAAUUUUCUUUUGUCAAUGGGAGGGUAGCAAUACCUUUUGCCUAGAGAGGGGUUUAUGUCCUAUCAGCUUGUUGGUGGGGUAAUGGCCUACCAAGGCGAAGACGGGUAGCCGGUCUUAGAGGAUGGUCGGCCACACUGGGACUGAGACACUGCCCAGACUUCUACGGAAGGCUGCAGUCGAGAAUCUUUCGCAAUGCCCGAAAGGGUGACGAAGCGACGCCGCGUGAGUGAGGAAGGCCUUAGGGUUGUAAAGCUCUGUCAGGAGUUAAGAAAUAUAAGUGUGCUAAUACCACGUUUGUUUGACGAAGGCUCCAAAGGAAGCCACGGCUAACUCUGUGCCAGCAGCCGCGGUAAUACAGAGGUGGCAAGCGUUGUUCGGAAUUAUUGGGCGUAAAGAGCACGUAGGUGGGUUUGUAAGUCAGAUGUGAAAGCCUUCUGUUCAACGGAAGAAUUGCAUCUGAAACUACAAGUCUUGAGUGUAGGAGGGGAGAAUGGAACUUCUGGUGGAGCGGUGAAAUGCGUAGAUAUCAGAAGGAACGCCGGCGGCGAAAGCGAUUCUCUGGCCUAUUACUGACGCUCAGUGUGCGAAAGCUAGGGGAGCAAACGGGAUUAGAUACCCCGGUAGUCCUAGCCGUAAACGAUGGGCACUAAGUAGAGGGAAUUACCGAUGUUCUCUCUGCCGUAGCUAACGCAUUAAGUGCCCCGCCUGGGGAGUACGGCCGCAAGGCUAAAACUCAAAAGAAUUGACGGGGGCUCGCACAAGCGGUGGAGCAUGUGGCUUAAUUCGAUGCAACGCGAAAAACCUUACCGGGGCUUGACAUGGUAGAAGUAGGAACCCGAAAGGGUAACGAACGGUAUCCAGUCCAUAGCUAUCACAGGUGUUGCAUGGCUGUCGUCAGCUCGUGUCGUGAGACGUUGGGUUAAGUCCCCUAACGAGCGAAACCCUUGUUUUUAGUUACCAGCGGGUUAUGCCGGGUACUCUAGAAAGACUGCCGUCGUCAAGACGGAGGAAGGUGGGGAUGACGUCAAGUCAUCAUGGCCCUUAUGCCCCGGGCUGCACACGUGCUACAAUGGUCGGUACAAACGGAAGCGAAGCCGAGAGGUGAAGCGAAUCCUAAAAAGCCGAUCUCAGUUCGGAUUGGAGGCUGAAAUUCGCCUCCAUGAAGUUGGAAUCGCUAGUAAUCGCGGAUCAGCAAUGCCGCGGUGAAUAUGUUCCCGAGCCUUGUACACACCGCCCGU